rnacentral:rRNA from 1 species
UACGAAGGGGGCUAGCGUUGCUCGGAAUCACUGGGCGUAAAGGGUGCGUAGGCGGGUCUUUAAGUCAGGGGUGAAAUCCUGGAGCUCAACUCCAGAACUGCCUUUGAUACUGAGGAUCUUGAGUUCGGGAGAGGUGAGUGGAGCUGCGAGUGUAGAGGUGAAAUUCGUAGAUAUUCGCAAGAACACCAGUGGCGAAGGCGGCUCACUGGCCCGAUACUGACGCUGAGGCACGAAAGCGUGGGGAGCAAACAAG